rnacentral:rRNA from 1 species
UACGAAGGGAGCUAGCGUUGUUCGGAAUCACUGGGCGUAAAGCGCACGUAGGCGGAUGUGUCAGUCAGGGGUGAAAUCCCGGGGCUCAACCUCGGAACUGCCUUUGAUACCGCAAAUCUCGAGUCCGGAAGAGGUGGGUGGAAUUCCUAGUGUAGAGGUGAAAUUCGUAGAUAUUAGGAAGAACACCAGUGGCGAAGGCGGCUCACUGGCCCGGUACUGACGCUCAUGUGCGAAAGCGUGGGGAGCAAACAGG